rnacentral:rRNA from 1 species
AUGAACGCUGGCGGCGCGCCUAACACAUGCAGGUCGAACGGCACCCCUCCUCGGAGGGAAGCGAGUGGCGAACGGCUGAGUAACACGUGGAGAACCUGCCCCCUCCCCCGGGAUAGCCGCCCGAAAGGACGGGUAAUACCGGAUACCCCGGGGUGCCGCAUGGCACCCCGGCUAAAGCCCCGACGGGAGGGGAUGGCUCCGCGGCCCAUCAGGUAGACGGCGGGGUGACGGCCCACCGUGCCGACAACGGGUAGCCGGGUUGAGAGACCGACCGGCCAGAUUGGGACUGAGACACGGCCCAGACUCCUACGGGAGGCAGCAGUGGGGAAUCUUGCGCAAUGGGGGGAACCCUGACGCAGCGACGCCGCGUGCGGGACGGAGGCCUUCGGGUCGUAAACCGCUUUCAGCAGGGAAGAGUCAAGACUGUACCUGCAGAAGAAGCCCCGGCUAACUACGUG